UUCAAUGCAUUCUAGGUUGGACAAUUGAGAGAGGUAUCCAACAAGGCAAAUAAUGCAGAGCCAAAAUUGUUCUUGGAAGUGGAAAGUGGACAGGAUUUGCGGCCGAUUCCUCCACCUGUGAAGAGCAAAGAGGAGAUUCUUCUUUUUUUUUUUUCAAACUUUUUGACCCUUUGAAAGAGGAGCUUAGGUAUGUUGGGCGGUUGUUUGUGAAGUCGAAUGGCAAGCUAGCAGAAAUAUUGACAAAGUUAAAUGAGUUGGCUGGAUUCAGUGAAGAAAUUGAACUCUUUGAGGAAAUAAAACUUGAAUCUAAUGUCAUGUGUGAACGCAUUGACAAGAAGCUCACCUUUCGUGGUAGUCAGCUUGAAGAUGGUGACAUCAUUUGCUUUCAGAAAUCCACUCAAGUUGAAAGUAGUGAACAAUGCCGCUAUCCUGAUGUUCCUUCAUUUCUGGAAUAUGUGCAUAAUCGUCAGGUGUUCCAUGAGCCUUCACAAUGUGACAUCAUUAUCUUAGAGCUUUUAUGCAACAUUGUGAGCAUGCCAAAUUUUCUGAUAUACAAGGUCAAGCGUAUAGGACUCUUUGGAGGCUCUCACAUGCCAAACCUUUGAAAUUUAUUGAGCCACAAUUAAAUACUGACUCAACCACUAGUUAACAUUAUGUCACAAAAAUCCAAGCUCACAAGCCAGUGAAUUCCUUUUAUUUUUUGAUUGCCCACAAACUCGACAUUCCGGAAGGAAUCCAAAUGGCUAAAAUUGGUAUCCCACAAAGUUACAUGGAUGCAAACUCAUGUUACAUGGACUCUUAUAUAUUUCACAAGGUUCAUGUGUCCACCGGA